UAUGGCCAUAUCAUGUUGAAACACCAGUUCUUCUCCAAUCACUGAAGUUAAACAAUGUUGAGCCUGGUUGGUACCUAGAUAGGUGACUGCUUGGGUAUACCAGGUACUGUAA